CUGGGUCUUUUUUAAUUGUUUGGCACUGAUGGUAGGAGGUGAUUUUGAUUGCUGAUCUUGAAUACUUACGAAGCCAGCAAAGGAGAGUGAGUCAGCUGAACUGUUGUCUGCGGCAACAUCCACAGAUAUCUUGUUUUGAAGAUCUUAUUGCCGCCACCUGCCGGGAGGGUGUGGGAGAUGCGGAUUGCUGGAGUUUAGGAAUCAGGAUAAAAGCGAAACGCAUACAUUUGCCUAAAACUACAACAGUGAGUACCAAUGAUUUUAACUAUGGUAAAUUUGGAAGGUCAAAGUAGAUGAGAUUCCGAUUGUCUUCUCCUCUGGUCUAUUUACUCCAAGCAUCUUGUAUUUUGUUCUUUUUUGGUGGAAAUACCAAAGAAUUGUUGUAGUUUUAUGCAUUGUUCUCAAACUUGAUGGAUCCCCUGCCUGCUAAUACUGAAAACGGCCCCAUGAAAGCUUAUUAGUAUGUUUAAAUACGUACUUCCAAAGAUGGCUCAAGUUGCUGAUGCGUACGAGGAUAGCAUGGUUAGUCACUUGGAAGUAAGGAAUGGUGGAAAGAUCUUAGUGGAGGAUUGGGGUUCGAUUCCACUUAUUCGUCCAUGCCAUGGGCAUAGGGAACAUUACUCCGUGGUGUUGGUGGAGAUUCCUAGGGAAGUGUCUUCUAUAAAAAAAAAUUGUGGCAAUGAUAACGAUAUCCAUCAUUAUCACCGGACUGCUAUCGCGUUUGAGGGAGAGAGAGGUGGGCUGGGCUUUAGCCUGCAAAAUCUAUGCACUGGCAGCCGGAUGAUCAAAGCUUUCAAGCUUCUGGGCUCUGACCAUUUCAUAUAGUUGGAAUCUGGAACGUUGAAAUUUGGCUAGGCUACUUGUUUAAUUCCCAAGUGCUGUUUUAUUUUGAUUGAUAUUUUGCUAUAGUGUGGCUAACACCCUUUUCUGUGA